rnacentral:rRNA from 1 species
CGAGAAUCUUCGGCAAUGGGCGCAAGCCCGACCGUGCGACGCCGCGUGGAGGAUGAAGGCCUUCGGGUUGUAAACUCCUGUCGAGGGGGAACAAGGGCCGGUGCAGAGCCGGCCUUGAGUGAUCCCUGGAGGAAGCACGGGCUAAGUUCGUGCCAGCAGCCGCGGUAAGACGAACCGUGCGAACGUUAUUCGGAAUCACUGGGCUUAAAGCGCGUGUAGGCGGGUCGGUACGUCGGACGCUGAAAUCCCCCGGCUCAACCGGGGAACGGGCGCCGAAACGGCUGGCCUGGAGGGGGGUAGGGGAAUCGGGAACUUCCGGUGGAGCGGUGAAAUGCGUUGAGAUCGGAAGGAACGCCCGUGGCGAAAGCGCGAUUCUGGACCCUUACUGACGCUGAGACGCGAAAGCCAGGGGAGCGAACGGGAUUAGAUACCCCGGUAGUCCUGGCCGUAAACUAUGGGCACUGGGUAGGGGGCUCGCCGAUGGGCUCCCUGCCGCAGCGAAAGCGUGAAGUGCCCCGCCUGGGGAGUAUGGUCGCAAGGCUG